rnacentral:rRNA from 1 species
UACAGAGACUGCAAGCGUUAUUCGGAUUCACUGGGCGUAAAGGGCGCGUAGGCGGCUCUUCAAGUUAGGCGUGAAAGCCCCGGGCUCAACCUGGGAAUUGCGUUUGAUACUGUGGGGCUUGAGUACGGGAGAGGAGAGUGGAAUUCCCAGUGUAGAGGUGAAAUUCGUAGAUAUUGGGAAGAACACCAGUGGCGAAGGCGGCUCUCUGGACCGAAACUGACGCUGAGGCGCGAAAGCGUGGGGAGCAAACAGG